rnacentral:rRNA from 1 species
ACGCUGGCGACGUGGAUAAGGCAUGCAAGUCGAACGCCCCUUCGGGGGAGUGGCAAACGGGGUAGUAAUACAUAGGUACACACCUUUAAGUCAGGGAUAACUUCGAGAAAUCGGAGUUAAUACUUGAUAGUCUCUUCGGAGUAAAGAUUUAUCGCUUAAAGAGUGGCCUGUGCGGUAUCAGCUUGUUGGUAAGGUAAAAGCUUACCAAGGCUAUGACGCCUAGGGGAGGUGAGAGCCUGACCCCCACCAUUGGAACUGAGACACUGUCCAAACACCUACGGGUGGCUGCAGUCGAGAAUCUUCCGCAAUGCACGAAAGUGUGACGGAGCGACGUCGCGUGGUUGAUGAAGUCCUUCGGGAUGUAAAAACCUUUUAUAGGGGAGGAAGUUUAUUGACGUUACCCUAUGAAUAAGGGGCUCCAAACUCUGUGCCAGCAGGAGCGGUAAUACAGAGGCCUCAAGCGUUAUCCGGAAUUAUUGGGCGUAAAGGGUGUGUAGGUGGUACUGUUAGUCUUAUGUUAAAGGUCUCUGCUCAACAGAGAACAUGCAUGGGAAACGGCAGAACUAGAGGAUGUGAGGGGUAUAUGGAACUCAUGGAGUAGGGGUGAAAUCCGUUGAUAUCAUGGGGAACACCAAAAGCGAAGGCAAUAUACUGGCACAUUCCUGACACUGAAACACGAAAGCUAGGGUAGCGAACGGGAUUAGAUACCCCGGUAGUCCUAGCCGUAAACGAUGAUCACUGGCUUUUCGGAGUAUCGACCCUCUGAGAGGCGAAGCUAACGCGUUAAGUGAUCCGCCUGGGUAGUACGGCCGCAAGGCUAAAACUCAAAGGAAUAGACGGGGACUUGCACAAGCAGUGGAUCAUGUGGUUUAAUUCGAUACUAAACGAAGAACCUUACCCAGAUUAGACAUCCAACUGACGGUUUUGAGAAAUCAAUUCCUUCUUCGGACAGUUGGACAGGUGUUGCAUGGCCGUCGUCAGUUCGUGAUUUGAGUUGUUCCCUUAAGUGGGGUAACGAACGCAACCCUCGUUGCCAGUUACAAGUGUCUGGCGAGACUGCCCAGCCAUUUGAAAUUAAUUUUUUGAUUUUAAAGGGCUGGGAGGAAGGCGAGGAUGACGCCAGGUCAGCAUGACCCUCGACGUCUGGGGCUACACACAUGAUACAAUGGUAACUACAACAGGUUGCGACGGAGUAAUCCUGAGCUAAUCCUUAUAAAAGUUGCCUCAGUUCGGAUUGAGGGCUGAAACUCGACCUCAUGAAGUUGGAAUUGCUAGUAAUCGCGGGUCAGCUAUACCGCGGUGAAUACGUUCUCAAGUCUUGUACUCACCGCCCGUCAAGUCAAGGGAGUUGGGAGUGCCCGAAGUUCCCGUUCGCGGGACCUAAGGUAAACUCA